rnacentral:tRNA from 3 species
GCGGGACCAAAACCCGUUGCCUUACCACUUGGCCACGCCCCA